rnacentral:rRNA from 1 species
AGCCAUGCAUGUGCAGGUACAUACUUUAUACGGUUGAAACCGCGAAUGGCUCAUUACAUAAGUCUUGGUUUAUUAGAUCAUACGAAUCAUAUGGAUAACUGUGGAAAAUCUAGAGCUAAUACAUGCCACGAUGCUUCGACUAGCGAAGAGGAGCUUUUAUUAGGUCAAAGCCAAUGAUCCCCUAACGGGGUUCAAACGUUGUGCUGAUUCUGAGUAAAGUAAGCUGAUUGCAUUGCCUGAAAAGGGCAGGCGACGUGUCUUUCAAGCGUCUUCCCUAUCAACUAUCGUUGGUAGUUGACAUGACUACCAUGGUCGUAACGGGUAACGGGGAAUCAGGGUUCGAUUCCGGAGAGAGAGCAUGAGAAACGGCUGUCACAUCCAAGGAAGGCAGCAGGCGCGCAAAUUACCCAAUCCUAGAUCGGGGAGGUAGUGACGAAAAAUAACGAUGCCGUAAUCUUCGGAUUCGGCAAUUGGAAUGAGAACAAUCAAAAUCCUUUAUCGAGGAUCAAUUGGAGGGCAAGUUCUGGUGCCAGCAGCCGCGGUAAUUCCAGCUCGAAUAGCGUAUGUUAAAUUUGCUGCGGUUAAAAAGCUCGUAGUUGGGUUUCAGGAGAUGAACUUUGCGCUGCCAAAUUUGUGCAGCAUUGCAAUUGCUUCGCUCCUUAUGUUUUACCAUUCCUACGGUAGCAUUACCGUGUGGGGGUAAGCGGACUACUUUGAGAAAAUUAGCGUGCUCAACGCAGGCAAUUUGCUUGUAUACUGUUGCAUGGAAUAAUGAGAAAGGACCUCGGUUCUGUUUCGUUGGUUUCCGGAAGCUGAGGUA